rnacentral:rRNA from 1 species
GAUGAACGCUGGCGGCGUGCCUAAUACAUGCAAGUCGAGCGAACAGAUGAGGAGCUUGCUCCUCUGACGUUAGCGGCGGACGGGUGAGUAACACGUGGAUAACCUACCUAUAAGACUGGGAUAACUUCGGGAAACCGGAGCUAAUACCGGAUAAUAUAUUGAACCGCAUGGUUCAAUAGUGAAAGACGGUUUUGCUGUCACUUAUAGAUGGAUCCGCGCCGCAUUAGCUAGUUGGUAAGGUAACGGUUUACCAAGGCAACGAUGCGUAGCCGACCUGAGAGGGUGAUCGGCCACACUGGAACUGAGACACGGUCCAGACUCCUACGGGAGGCAGCAGUAGGGAAUCUUCCGCAAUGGGCGAAAGCCUGACGGAGCAACGCCGCGUGAGUGAUGAAGGUCUUCGGAUCGUAAAACUCUGUUAUUAGGGAAGAACAAAUGUGUAAGUAACUAUGCACGUCUUGACGGUACCUAAUCAGAAAGCCACGGCUAACUACGU